rnacentral:rRNA from 1 species
GAUGAACGCUGGCGGCGUGCCUAAUACAUGCAAGUCGAGCGAACUGACGAGAAGCUGGCUUCUCUGAUGUUAGCGGCGGACGGGUGUGUAACACGUGGAUAACCUACCUAUAAGACUGGGAUAACUUCGGGAAACCGGGGCUACUACCGGAUGAUAUUCUGAACCGCAUGGUUCAAAAGUUAAAGACGGUCUUGCUGUCACUGAUAGAUGGAUCCGCUCUGCAUUAGCUAGUUGGUAAGGUAACGGCUUACCAAGGCAACGAUGCAUUGCCGACCUGAGAGGGUGAUAGGCCACACUGGAACUGAGACACGGUCCAGACUACGACGAGAGGCAGCAGCAGGGAAUCUUCCGCAAUGGGCGAAAGCCUGAAGGAGCAACCCCGCGCGAGUGAUGAAGGUCUCCGCAUCGUAAAACUAUGUUAUUAGGGAAGAACAUAUGUGUAAGUAACUGUGCACAUCUGAACGGUACCUAAUCAGAAAGCAACGGCUAACUACGUG